rnacentral:rRNA from 1 species
CCUACGGGAGGCAGCAGUGGGGAAUAUUGGACAAUGGGGGGAACCCUGAUCCAGCCAUGCCGCGUGUGUGAAGAAGGCCCUCGGGUUGUAAAGCACUUUCAGUGAGGAAGAACGCCUGGUGGUUAAUACCCAUCAGGAAAGACAUCACUCACAGAAGAAGCACCGGCUAACUCCGUGCCAGCAGCCGCGGUAAUACGGAGGGUGCGAGCGUUAAUCGGAAUUACUGGGCGUAAAGCGCGCGUAGGUGGCUUGAUAAGCCGGUUGUGAAAGCCCCGGGCUCAGCCUGGGAACGGCAUCCGGAACUGUCAAGCUAGAGUGCAGGAGAGGAAGGUAGAAUUCCCGGUGUAGCGGUGAAAUGCGUAGAGAUCGGGAGGAAUACCAGUGGCGAAGGCGGCCUUCUGGACUGACACUGACACUGAGGUGCGAAAGCGUGGGUAGCAAACAGGAUUAGAUACCCUGGUAGUC